rnacentral:rRNA from 1 species
GAUGAACGCUAGCGACAGGCCUAACACAUGCAAGUCGAGGGGCAGCACAUGAGUAGCAAUACGAUGGUGGCGACCGGCGCACGGGUGAGUAACACGUAUGCAACCUGCCUUCUACUAUGGGAUAACCCGUUGAAAGACGGACUAAUACCGGAUGUGGAUACUUUUUCGCUUGUGAGAGUAUCUAAAGCAGUAAUGCGCUUUAGGAUGGGCUUGCGGCCUAUCAGCUAGUUGGUGUGGGUAACGGCCUACCAAGGCGACGACGGGUAGCUGGUCUGAGAGGAUGGUCAGCCGGACUGGGACUGAGACACGGCCCAGACUCCUACGGGGGCAGCAAUUAGGAAUCUUGCGCAAUGGG